UGAGUACGAGAUGCUACGGCAUCGAAGCAGUCUAUGUCAUACUUCCAAGAAAAGCUUGCACUGUCAUAAACAAAGAAUGCCUGUACCAUAACCGACACAGGUGGGUAGGUAGAGUAUACUAAGGGGCGCGAGAUAACUCUCUCUAAGGAACUCGGCAAAAUGACUCCGUAACUUCGGGAGAAGGAGUGCCUUAUUUCUAAGGUUGCAAUAACAAGAUCCAAGCAACUGUUUACCAAAAACACAGGUCUCCGCUAAGUCGUAAGACGAUGUAUGGGGGCUGACGCCUGCCCAGUGCCAGAAGGUUAAAGAAGUUGGUUAGCAUUAGCGAAGCUGAUAACUGAAGCCCUGGUGAACGGCGGCCGUAACGAUAACGGUCCUAAGGUAGCGAAAUUCCUUGUCGGGUAAGUUCCGACCCGCACGAAAGGCGUAAUGAUUUGGAUACUGUCUCGGAGAGGGGCUCGGUGAAAUAGACUUGUCUGUGAAGAUGCGGACUACCUGCACCUGGACAGAAAGACCCUAUGAAGCUUUACUGUAACUUGAGAUUGAAAUUGGACUUUAUUUGCGCAGUAUAGGUGGGAGGCGUUGAGAAUAAUCUUGCGGGAUUGUUGGAGCCAUCAGUGAGAUACCACUCUUGUAAUGUUAGAUUUCUAACUUUGUAUCAUUAUCUGGUCAAAGAACAGUUUCAGGCGGGCAGUUUGACUGGGGCGGUCGCCUCCCAAAGGGUAACGGAGGCGCACAAAGGUUUCCUCUGAACGGGUAGAAAUCGUAUCUAGAGUGUAAAGGCAUAAGGAAGCUUGACUGUGAGACCUACAAGUCGAGCAGGGACGAAAGUCGGUCUUAGUGAUCUGACGGUGCUGAGUGGAAAGGCCGUCACUCAACGGAUAAAAGUUACUCUAGGAUAACAGGCUGAUCUCCCCCAAGAGUUCACAUCGACGGGGAGGUUUGGCACCUCGAUGUCGGCUCAUCGCAUCCUGGGCGGUAGUCCGUCCCAAGGGUUGGGCUGUUCGCCCAUGAAAGCGGUACGCGAGCUGGGUUCAGAACGUCGUGAGACAGUUCGGUCCAUAUCCGGUGUAGGCGUUAGAAUAUUGAGAGGAGCCUUCUCUAGUACGAGAGGACCGAGAAGGACAUACCUCUGGUGUACCAGUUAUCGUGCCAACGGUAAACGCUGGGUAGCUAUGUAUGGAGUGGAUAACCGCUGAAAGCAUCUAAGUGGGAAGCCCACCUCAAGAUAAG
rnacentral:rRNA from 1 species